UGGGGAAUUUUGCACAAUGGGGGAAACCCUGAUGCAGCGACGCCGCGUGAUUUAGAAGGCCUUCGGGUUGUAAAAAUCUUUUUUACGGGAUGAAAAUGACAGUACCGUAAGAAUAAGGUCCGGCUAAAUACGUGCCAGCAGCCGCGGUAAUACGUAUGGACCGAGCGUUGUCCGGAAUCAUUGGGCGUAAAGGGUACGUAGGCGGCCUAGUAAGUUAGAAGUGAAAUAAUAUAGCUCAACUAUAUAAAGCUUUUAAAACUGCUAGGCAUGAGAGAUGGAAGGGAAAGUGGAAUUCCUAGUGUAGCGGUGAAAUGCGCAGAUAUUAGGAAGAAUACCGGUGGCGAAGGCGACUUUCUGGUCAUCAUCUGACGCUGAGGUACGAAAGCGUGGGUAGCAAACAGG
rnacentral:rRNA from 1 species